rnacentral:rRNA from 1 species
GAUGAACGCUGGCGGCGUGCCUAAUACAUGCAAGUCGAGCGAACAGAUGAGGAGCUUGCUCCUCUGACGUUAGCGGCGGACGGGUGAGUAACACGUGGAUAACCUACCUAUAAGACUGGGAUAACUUCGGGAAACCGGAGCUAAUACCGGAUAAUAUAUUGAACCGCAUGGUUCAAUAGUGAAAGACGGUUUUGCUGUCACUUAUAGAUGGAUCCGCGCCGCAUUAGCUAGUUGGUAAGGUAACGGCUUACCAAGGCAACGAUGCGUAGCCGACCUGAGAGGGUGAUCGGCCACACUGGAACUGAGACACGGUCCAGACUCCUACGGGAGGCAGCAGUAGGGAAUCUUCCGCAAAGGGCGAAAGCCUGACGGAGCAACGCCGCGUGAGUGAUGAAGGUCUUCGGAUCGUAAAACUCUGUUAUUGGGGAAGAACAAACGUGUAAGUAACUAUGCACGUCUUGACGGUACCUAAUCAGAAAGCCACGGCUAACUACGUG